rnacentral:lncRNA from 10 species
AUUGCAGCAACUGUGCCAGCAUCCUAUUAUAUUCUGCCAUGUACAGAUGAGAAAACUGAGUCUCUGAGACAGUUAAGGAACUUGUCUAAGGCAGCAUCCAGCAAGAGAAAGCAGGGAGGAGCUGACAGAGCCCUCAUCACUGCUUCCCUGACAGGAGGUAGGGGAAGCAAAAAAGAGCCUCUGAGGGGAAGCUCACCUCUGCUCGGACCCACCACAG